rnacentral:lncRNA from 1 species
CUCCUUCAAGGGGUUUCGUUAAAAUGAGAAUAAGUCUAUGCUGACUCUAGCUGGACAAAAAUAAUAUUCAGAGUGGUAUACAGAAAAUUUGAAUUUCGGUUAUUUUGUGAGACAGAAUAUCUAUUAUUUAUUAUAUCGUUGUAUUAUAUUCAACGUAAAUAUUAAUAAGUCACUUUUUCAAUCAACAAUUCUGAAAGACAGAAAAGGUGGAAAAUAGGUGGCAACUAGUGGAAAUUGGCUGUACUAGCUGAAUCUGAAAAGAUCAUUUUUGAAUGUGUCUGCAGUGUAUUAUUUCUGCAUGAGUGAAAGUUGGUUAAAGAUAAGAUUAAUGAUAGAUCAAGUUACAAGCUCCCACACUAAUGUAUAGAAACAACCCCAGGUGGAACUUGGGUCAGUUAAGAUUUAUACCAGUAUAUGCAGGCAAACAUGAGGUUAGAAGCAAAGAAAUAGUUCUUGCCUUUUCUCUUCAUUAAUUGAAAAAAGAAGUGUAUAUAAAAAGGAUGUUUUUACAAUAGCUUUUCAACGAGUAUUUGACACCUUCUUUAGCUGACCAAAAACGUGUAUGUGUGGAAUCAAUUUAUCUGUGUAGUAAUACCAAAAUUUGAAAUCUGGCAUUCGAUGAGUCAGUCAGGGAGAAAAUGGAAACACAUUGUGAAAGGUACCUUCUGUGAAAAAAGUGCAACUUUGUGACAUGAUCUGCCUGCCUGACUGUAUGUACCUGAGCAGCAUACAGCUUAUUACUGCGUAAAAAGAAACAUAUCAAGAUAAUUCUGAAUCAGAUUGUGUGCUGGAAAAAUGGCCUUACAUCCAAAGGAGUGAAAUUUGGAGUCAUUUGCAAUCUACUUAAGCCACUCUGGAAUAUGAAAAAAUAAGACUGCAUUGACAACAUCCUGAUCCUCGUGUUCAGAUCUUUUGUGAUUUCUUGUGAAGGGUCUUUGAUUUUUGCAUAAAAAUAAAAAAUAUAUUAAUAUUUGAUUUUUGCUUACUACUGAUUUUUUUUCAGAUUCAGCAGGUGCAGCUGAUUUCCACUAGUUGCCAUGUAUUUUCCACCUAUUGCCAGCUGUGUGGUGGCAUCUAGUGGAAAAUAGGACUGCCACACAUAGUGGUGUUUUGGUGAAAUUUUGUCCACUUACUGCCACCUGUUAGGUGGCGAUUGGUGGAAAUAAGUGGCGUUUAGUGGAAAAUGAAUUUUUCACCAUAAUGGUGGCAUUUUAGUGGUAAUUUGUCUAAAUACUCCACUUACUGCCACCAUGAAGGUGGCUACUGGUGGAAUUAAGUGGUAAACAAAUUUUCCACCAUAAUAGUGGCAUAAUGGUGUAAAACUGUCUAAAUACUCCACUUAUUGCCACCUAAAGGUGUACACAAGUGGGAAAAGGUGGAAUUUAGUGGAAAACAGGUU